UGCCAGCAGCCGCGGUAAUACGGAGUGGGUUAGCGUUAUUCGGAUUUACUGGGCGUAAAGCGCACGUAGGCGGCAAGAUAAGUCAAAGGUGAAAGCCCUCGGCUCAACCGAGGAACUGCCUUUGAAACUGUCUUGCUUGAGUCCGGGAGGGGGGAGCGGAAUUCCCAGUGUAGCGGUGAAAUGCGUAGAUACUGGGAGGAACACCGGUGGCGAAGGCGGCUCCCUGGACCGGUACUGACGCUGAGGUGCGAAAGCUAGGGUAGCAAACGGGAUUAGAUA
rnacentral:rRNA from 1 species